rnacentral:rRNA from 1 species
UGCGUAGGUGGCGCCGUAAGUCGGGUGUGAAAUUUCGGAGCUUAACUCCGAAACUGCAUUCGAUACUGCGGUGCUUGAGGACUGGAGAGGAGACUGGAAUUCAUGGUGUAGCAGUGAAAUGCGUAGAGAUCGUGAGGAAGACCAGUGGCGAAGGCGGGUCUCUGGACAGUUCCUGACACUGAGGACAAGGCCAGGGGAGCGAAACG